UACAGAGGGUGCGAGCGUUAAUCGGAAUUACUGGGCGUAAAGGGCGCGUAGGCGGGAUGGCAAGUCGGUCGUGAAAUCCUUCGGCCCAACCGAAGAACGUCGGCCGAUACUGCCGUUCUUGAGGGAUGCAGAGGAGACUGGAAUUCCCGGUGUAGCGGUGAAAUGUGUAGAGAUCGGGAGGAACACCGGUGGCGAAGGCGGGUCUCUGGGCAUUUCCUGACGCUGAGGCGCGAAAGCGUGGGGAGCAAACGGG
rnacentral:rRNA from 1 species